ensembl:lncRNA
AUCCCCUGGAGGAGGAAAUGGCAACCCACUCCCAUCUUCUUGCCUGGGAAAUCCUGUGGACAGGGCAGCCUGGCAGGCUACAGUCCGUGGGGUAGCAAAGAGUCGGACAUGACUGAGCACAACAUACUGUCUAUGCAUGCUACACCUUACACUGUUGAUCGGUUCCUUCCUGAAAUCGCAACUCUUUCAUGAAGUAGCAAGAGAAGAUAGAAAAUGCACUUGGCUGAAGAAGGACCCUAAGCUGAAUGGAAGCAGAGAAAUGAUACACACAACAGCUUCAUGCUGGCUACUGACUGGGGUCAAACAUGAUGGUGAGUCUAUCAUGCCUGGAGUCUUCACUGGCUGGAUAUGGAAAAUCUCAGAACUUGAAACUCACCUCAAUGUCUAAGGCCUGUCCAGAGGAAUUGUUGCAGAUCUGUAAAUAUGAAAACUUGGGCUUUGUCACUUUUUCAGUGAUCUGUUCCCUCUCCCAGCCCCAUACGCUCUCGCAACCAUGUAAAAUUCUAGCAUCUGUCCAUUCAAGUGCCAUUUUCUUCAUGUAAUUUUCUCUGGACUCCAAAUAAGAGUUAGCUGUCCAGAAGAGCUCUAUACAUCCUCAGGUUCACUGCAAUCUUAUUUAC